GACGAACGCUGGCGGCGUGCCUAAUACAUGCAAGUCGAACGCAGUGGGGACGGCUGAUUAACACGUGGGUAACCUCCCAUCAGAGGGGAUAACACUUGGAAACAGGUGCUAAACUGAUACUGAUGGAUGGACCCGCGGUGCAUUAGCUAGUUGGUGAGGUAACGGCUCACCAAGGCCACGAUGCAUAGCCGACCGGAGAGGGUGAUCGGCCACACUGGGACUGAGAAACGGCCCAGACUCCCACGGGAGGCAGCAGUAGGGAAUCUUCGGUAAUGGACGAAAGUCUGACCGAGCAACGCCGCGUGAGUGAAGAAGGUUUUCGGAUCGUAAAGCUCUGGUAUUAGAGAAGCGGUAUCUGUACAGGAAGCAAAGGCUAACUACGUGCCAGCAGCCGCGGUAAUUC
rnacentral:rRNA from 1 species